GAAAGAGCAGAGAAGGAA
rnacentral:rRNA from 1 species